rnacentral:rRNA from 1 species
CCUACGGGUGGCAGCAGUGGGGAAUAUUGCACAAUGGGGGAAACCCUGAUGCAGCAACGCCGCGUGGGUGAUUAAGCGUUUCGGCGCGUAAAGCUCUGUCAGCGGGGACGAAGAUAGACGGUACCCGCACAAGAAGCACCGGCUAACUACGUGCCAGCAGCCGCGGUAAUACGGAGGGUGCGAGCGUUGUCCGGAAUCAUUGGGCGUAAAGGGUGCGUAGACGGCGUAGUAAGUCUGAUGUGGAAGCCCGAGGCUCAACUGCGGAUCUGCAUUGGGAACUGUUUAGCUGGAGUAUGGGAGGGGUAAGGGGAAUUCCUGGUGUAGCGGUGAAAUGCGUAGAUAUCAGGAGGAACACCGGUGGCGAAGGCGGCUUACUGGGCCGUAACUGACGCUGAGGAUCGAAAGCGUGGGGAGCGAAUGGGAUUAGAUACCCCAGUAGUC